UACGAAGGGGGCUAGCGUUGCUCGGAAUCACUGGGCGUAAAGGGUGCGUAGGCGGGUCUUUAAGUCAGGGGUGAAAUCCUGGAGCUCAACUCCAGAACUGCCUUUGAUACUGAAGAUCUUGAGUUCGGGAGAGGUGAGUGGAACUGCGAGUGUAGAGGGUGAAAUUCGUAGAUAUUCGCAAGAACACCAGUGGCGAAGGCGGCUCACUGGCCCGAUACUGACGCUGAGGCACGAAAGCGUGGGGAGCA
rnacentral:rRNA from 1 species